rnacentral:rRNA from 1 species
UGGCUCAGUGAGGCCUUCGGACUGGCUCGAGGAGGUUGGCAACGACCACCUCAAGCCGGAAAGUUCGUCAAACUCGGUCAUUUAGAGGAAGUAAAAGUCGUAACAAGGUCUCCGUAGGUGAACCUGCGGAGGGAUCAUUACACAAAUAUGAAGGCGGGCUGGAACCUCUCGGGGUUACAGCCUUGCUGAAUUAUUCACCCUUGUCUUUUGCGUACUUCUUGUUUCCUUGGUGGGUUCGCCCACCACUAGGACAAACAUAAACCUUUUGUAAUUGCAAUCAGCGUCAGUAACAAAUUAAUAAUUACAACUUUCAACAACGGAUCUCUUGGUUCUGGCAUCGAUGAAGAACGCAGCGAAAUGCGAUAAGUAGUGUGAAUUGCAGAAUUCAGUGAAUCAUCGAAUCUUUGAACGCACAUUGCGCCCUUUGGUAUUCCAAAGGGCAUGCCUGUUCGAGCGUCAUUUGUACCCUCAAGCUUUGCUUGGUGUUGGGCGUCUUGUCUCUAGCUUUGCUGGAGACUCGCCUUAAAGUAAUUGGCAGCCGGCCUACUGGUUUCGGAGCGCAGCACAAGUCGCACUCUCUAUCAGCAAAGGUCUAGCAUCCAUUAAGCCUUUUUUUCAACUUUUGACCUCGGA